rnacentral:rRNA from 1 species
AGAGUUUGAUCCUGGCUCAGAAUCAACGCUGGCGGCGUGCCUAACACAUGCAAGUCGAACGGGAAAGAGAGCUUCGGUUCUUGAGUAGAGUGGCGAACGGGUGAGUAACGCGUGGGUGAUCUACCCUGCAGAGGGGGAUAACCCGGGGAAACCCGGGCUAAUACCGCAUAAGCCUGUUGAGUCGAAUUGACAGGGAAAGUCCUUCGGGAUGGUGCAGGAGGAGUCCGCGUCCGAUUAGCUAGUUGGUAGGGUAAGGGCCUACCAAGGCGACGAUCGGUAGCCGGUCUGAGAGGACGGACGGCCACACUGGGACUGAGACACGGCCCAGACUCCUACGGGAGGCAGCAGUGGGGAAUUUUGGGCAAUGGGCGCAAGCCUGACCCAGCAACGCCGCGUGGAGGAAGAAGGUUUUCGGAUUGUAAACUCCUGUCCAAAGGGACGAAGACAGUGACGGUACCUUUGGAGGAAGCCCCGGCUAACUCCGUGCCAGCAGCCGCGGUAAUACGGGGGGGGCAAGCGUUGUUCGGAUUUACUGGGCGUAAAGGGCGCGUAGGCGGUUUCGGAAGUCAUGGGUGAAAGCCCUCGGCUCAACCGGGGGAUUGCCUGUGAAACCACGGAACUGGAGUGCUGGAGAGGAGAGUGGAAUUCCCAGUGUAGCGGUGAAAUGCGUAGAUAUUGGGAGGAACACCGGUGGCGAAGGCGGCUCUCUGGACAGACACUGACGCUGAGGCGCGAAAGCCAGGGGAGCGAACGGGAUUAGAUACCCCGGUAGUCCUGGCUGUAAACGAUGAACACUUGGUGUGGGGGGUGAAGAAAGUCCUUCCGUGCCGGAGACAACUCGUUAAGUGUUCCGCCUGGGGAGUACGGCCGCAAGGCUGAAACUCAAAGGAAUUGACGGGGGCCCGCACAAGCGGUGGAGCAUGUGGUUUAAUUCGACGACAACGCGAAGAACCUUACCGGGGUUUGAACUGCACGAGACACUCUUAGAGAUGAGGGAUUCCCCUCGGGGACUGGUGCAGAGGUGCUGCAUGGCUGUCGUCAGCUCGUGUCGUGAGAUGUUGGGUUAAGUCCCGCAACGAGCGCAACCCUUGUCUGUAGUUGCCAUCAGGUUAAGCUGGGCACUCUACGGAGACUGUCGGCGAAAAGCCGGAGGAAGGUGGGGAUGACGUCAAGUCCUCAUGGCCUUUAUGUCCCGGGCUACACACGUGCUACAAUGGGCGGAACAGAGGGAAGCGACCUCGCGAGAGCAAGCGAAUCCCAGAAAUCCGCUCUCAGUUCGGAUUGCAGUCUGCAACUCGACUGCAUGAAGGUGGAAUCGCUAGUAAUCGCGGAUCAGAACGCCGCGGUGAAUACGUUCCCGGGCCUUGUACACACCGCCCGUCACAUCACGAAAGUGGGUUGUACUAGAAGCCGCCGGCCUAACCCUUCGGGGAAGGAGGCGUCGACGGUAUGACUCAUGAUUGGGGUGAAGUCGUAACAAGGUA